UACAGAGGUCUCAAGCGUUGUUCGGAUUCAUUGGGCGUAAAGGGUGCGUAGGCGGCGCGGUAAGUCGGGUGUGAAAUCUCGGAGCUUAACUCCGAAACUGCAUUCGAUACUGCGGUGCUUGAGGACUGGAGAGGAGACUGGAAUUCAUGGUGUAGCAGUGAAAUGCGUAGAGAUCGGCAGGAACACCCAGGGGGAAACCAGUCGACUGGGCAGCACCUGACGCUGAGGUGCGAGAGCGUGGGGAGCGAACCGG
rnacentral:rRNA from 1 species